AUGGCCUCUUCGAAGAUCCGUAGAUUUUGCAUUUUUGCGGUGGUUUAUGGAUUCAAAGCGAGGCCUAAAUUAACGAUCAUGUCUUUGCUAUUAUAUCAGAGGGCAUAUCAUUGAAUUUCCGAUUUCCAAAGGGAAGAAAAUAAAUAAAGUUGUGCUAUUUCCAUGCGUCCUUUUUUCUUUCAUUCAAUGACACAUAC
rnacentral:snoRNA from 1 species